UCAGACGGUCGGAUGGCCGCCUUGCCCUUUCCCCGGAAAGGACGGGGAGGAAAGUCCGGGCUCCACGGAAACACGGCGCCGGGUAACGCCCGGCGGGGGCGACCCCAGGGAAAGUGCCACAGAAAGCAAACCGCCGGCGCAAGCCGGUAAGGGUGAAAGGGUGCGGUAAGAGCGCACCGCGUCUCCGGUAACGGAGACGGCACGGUAAACCCCGCCGGGAGCAAGACCAAAUAGGGGCGGCACGCCGGCUUCGGGCCGGAAAGCGCGUUUUCGCGCCGCUGCCCGGGUAGGUCGCGUGAGGCGUCCGGCGACGGACGUCCCAGAUGAAUGGCCAUCCAUCGCCCUCGGGCGGGGACAGAACCCGGCUUACAGACCGUCUGACGCU
rnacentral:RNase_P_RNA from 3 species